ACUAAAGCUCAUUUGAUGAGCUUUAGUUAAAGUGCCCCCACCACCAUUUUUAAGCAUGGGGACACUUAUACAUGAGACGCAGGAGGCAGCUGGAGCGGAGCAAUUGCAACACUCCAGCAGACUUAAUUAAUCAGUCUACUCUGACGCGGUGGCCUU